GUGAACGCUGGCGGUAGGCCUAACCCAUGCCAGUCGAACGGCAGCACAGUAAGAGCUUGCUCUUACGGGUGGCGAGUGGCGGACGGGUGAGGAAUACAUCGGAAUCUACUUUUUCGUGGGGGAUAACGUAGGGAAACUUACGCUAAUACCGCAUACGACCUACGGGUGAAAGCAGGGGAUCUUCGGACCUUGCGCGAUUGAAUGAGCCGAUGUCGGAUCAGCUAGUUGGCGGGGUAAAGGCCCACCAAGGCGACGAUCCGUAGCUGGUCUGAGAGGAUGAUCAGCCACACUGGAACUGAGACACGGUCCAGACUCCUACGGGAGGCAGCAGUGGGGAAUAUUGGACAAUGGGCGCAAGCCUGAUCCAGCCAUACCGCGUGGGUGAAGAAGGCCUUCGGGUUGUAAAGCCCUUUUGUUGGGAAAGAAAAGCAGCAGGUUAAUACCCCGCUGUUCUGACGGUACCCAAAGAAUAAGCACCGGCUAACUUCGUG
rnacentral:rRNA from 1 species